rnacentral:rRNA from 1 species
AGGACGAACGCUUGGCGGCGUGCCUAACACAUGCAAGUCGAACGGGGGUGAAGAGGCUUCGGCUUUUCACUUAGUGGCGAACGGGUGAGUAACGCGUGAGAAACCUGCCUUUCAGUGGGGGGACAACAGUUGGAAACGACUGCUAAUACCGCAUAAUGGUAUUUUGGGGGCAUCCCAGAUGUAUCAAAGGAGCAAUCCGCUGAAAGAUGGGCUCGCGUCCGAUUAGCUAGAUGGCGGGGUAACGGCCCACCAAGUCGACGAUCGGUAGCCGGACUGAGAGGUUGAACGGCCACAUUGGGACUGAGACACGGCCCAGACUCCUACGGGAGGCAGCAGUGGGGAAUAUUGCACAAUGGGGGAAACCCUGAUGCAGCGACGCCGCGUGAGCGAAGAAGAUCUUCGGAUUGUAAAGCUCUGUCUUAGGGGACGAUAAUGACGGUACCCUGAGAGGAAGCCACGGCUAACUACGUG